GCGCUCACUCCAGCAGCACGUAUACUAAAAUCGGAACAAUACAGAGAUUAGCACGGCCCCUGGGCAAAGAUGAUACGCAAAUUUGUGAAGCGUUCUGUAUUUAA